UCAACUUUAUUAGAAGAGACGCAUUUAUUAGAUAAAAAGCCAGUUCAUGCUUUUACAGUAUGAAAAUUGGUGAUUUAUAAUAACUUAGCAAAUCGCAAAGUGAAAACAGGCGAUAAAUCAUUCAAGUUUCUGACCUAUCAGCUUUCGACGGUAUGGUAUUGGCUUACCGUGGCAGUGACGGUUAACGGGGGAUUAGGGUUCGAUUCCGGAGAGGGAGCCUGAGAAACGGCUACCACAUCUAAGGAAGGCAGCAGGCGCGCAAAUUACCCAAUUCUAACAGUUUGAGAGAGGUAGUAACAAGAAAUAACAAUACAAGGCAGUUAAAAUGCUUUGUAAUUGGAAUGAUAGAAAUUUAAACCCUUUUUAAAGUAUCAAUUGGAGGGCAAGUCUGGUGCCAGCAGCCGCGGUAAUUCCAGCUCCAAUAGCGUAUAUUAAAAUUGUUGCAGUUAAAAAGCUCGUAGUUGAAGUUCUGCUGAAAGUAACCGGUCUGCUUUUAAUAAAAGUGGUAUCUUGGUAUGUAUUUAGCAAUGAUGUCCUUUGAAGUGUUUUUUACUUUAUUGUAAUAAAGCAUAUUCAGGACUUUUACUUUGAGAAAAUUAGAGUGUUUCUAGCAG
rnacentral:rRNA from 1 species